AAUGUUUAUAUUAAAACACAUCAAAUUCAUAUAUUUACAAAAAAAAUUAAAAAUGCCAAUUUUGAAAAUUUAAGUUGCUAAUUUUUAGAUAAUGUUAUAAAAUUUUGAUUUUAAUUUUAUUUUAGAUUUUUGAUGGUAAAACUCCUCAACUAUAUUUACUUAAUAUAAAAAUCCUAAACUAAAGAUUUACCGAUAGUUAUGGUAAUUAUGACCUACUAGUGUUUAAUUCAUUAAAUAAAAUUAGUUUGGGGUUUUUCCGGUAAAUACUUAGUUUGAGGGUUUUUACCCAAAACAAACUUAUUUGAGGGGCCGGUUUUAACGUUAAAAAUCCUUUAUUUUAAAUAACAUUAUGUAAUUUCAAUUAGACAUAUGAUUUUGGAUAUAUAAUAUCUCGACUGUUUGGUUAUUAUUUAGAUACAUUAUAUACCAUUUACUUGUCCAAUUUAACUAUAAUAUUUUUGUUAUGCAGAUUAAAAUUUUGAUUAAAUUUUUUAUUUUAAUGUAGUUUGAUUCUUAUAUUAGAUUUGAAAAUAUAUUUUAGUAAGAUUAUGUAUAAUUUAAUAGAUGUUGUUUUGAGAAUCAAAUAGUAAAACUAAAGAAUUUAUCGAUUUAAAGUUACAUAAAUAAAUAUAAAAAUAAUAGUCUUUUGAAACCUUUUGUAUAUAUCAAAAUUAUAAAAUAAUUAAUUGUAAUAGUUGGUUAUUAUAUUUAUAAUAUUAUUUGAGAAUUUCAUAUUUAUUUAGUAAAUGUUGAGUUGUUCUAUAAUUUAUAUAAAAUAUUUCUGAAAAUAAUAAUAUAUCAUUCUUAUUUUAUGUUUGAUUUUGUAUAUAUAUUUUUUGGAUUGGUCUAGUUAUUCAUUCUGUGGGCAUAAUAUGUUACAUAUAUUCUUCCAAAUUAAAGUAUAAUUUAAUCUAAUUCAACCAAAUCGAAUCAAUUGUAUUGUAUUAGUUUGGCUCUUCAUCUUAAAUGUGUAAAUCUAUUUUGUUUUUAAUUUGGUAUAUGUUAAAUUGUGAAAUAAAUUGAUGAUAGGUACGAAAAGGUGCAUAAAAACAUAAUCGAUAAAUUUUAAAAAGGAAAGAUUAUUUUUUUACUUUAAUAUCAGGAUCAUUUUUAUAAACUUUCAUUUUUAUUAAAUCACAUUAUAUUGAUAAAAUAUUUAUUUAAAUUUUUUAUUAAUUUUUUUCUUUAUUAUAUAUGUUAUUUGAAAAAUAUAAAAAGAGAACUUAAAUAAAAAAAAGAAAAUAAAAUUUUUAUUCAUUAAAGAUAUCUUAGUUUUUGUUAUUUAAAAAUAUUUUCAAAAAAAAUAGUUAGCCAAUAAUUUAAGUAAUUGAAUUUGGCCAUUUAGCAAUGAUUCAAAUUUGGUCCAUAUAUCAGAAUUACAAUUACAUAUGGAUCAUUUACUUUAAUAUAAUGUAUUAUUUUUUUAUGGAAAUCUAGACUAAAAAAAUAUCAAAUUUGAAUUACACGUUUGUCAAAGAGAAUAUAUUGUAAUAUAAAAAUUUAAGAAGUAUUCCUAUAAAUUAUCUACAUAAAUUAUAUUUGGUUAGAUAAUGCCUAUAUAUAUAUAUAUAUAUAUAUAUAUAUAUAUAGUCAUGAUUAAUAGGAAGAUAUUCAUUAAACUUAAGAAUAUAGCAUAUAAUAUUUUUCGAAUUUGAGGACUGUUUAACCCGAGUAAAAGGAGGCAAAUUGAUUUUUGAUGAAUAUUGUGAAUUGUCUUGCUUAAUGAUUACUAGAGGUUCGCCGGUGCUACGCGCCGGGUUUGGGAUUUUUUUUCCUAUUUCAAAUUGGUAUCAUUGUGUUCUUUUAUUUUGUUGUUAUGAGUGAGUGUAGCCAGGGUUGUGUUUAUUUUAAAUAUUGGAUAUUUUGCAUGAUGUUUGUAUUUUUGUAUUACGGUAAGUACGGUGAGUUUGGCUUGUGACUUAAGUAAUUCGCAGAGAGUUAUUUGGAAACGUUAUAAACAGUCAUAUUUCAUUGCAUUGGAACUAAAUAUAUUUUUCUCCUGGAACGUGGACAACAUUCAAGGUUUUUUUUGCUUUGACUAACCUCCAAAAGAAAACCAAAUUUCACCUGCAAAUACCACUUACCUCCAGCCUCUACCUACUUCUAUCAGGUGCUUCUCGACAGAAAAAUGAAUAGAAAGGUUGUUGAAGCCCAUCAUCAUCGUGUAGAAAUCGGUGAGUAAAAAGAAGUGGAAACACUUUGAGCAGACCGUGUUCGCCGUUCCGUCUCCAGGAUGGCAGUUCAGCUCUGGCCACAUUUUCAGAACCGAGCUCUUAUAUAUAUAUCCCUCAUCUGAAGAAGUGGACGUUCCAGAGCCCUCUUGAAAUUUAUCAUUCAAUCCUCAACCAACGAAAUACCUUUCUCUUCCGUGAGGUUGUUGAUGAUUUUGAUUCCUUUGUCUGUCUCGCCGAUGGCCAUGAGGAGAACACCAAAAAUGUAUCUUCCUUGUAGGUGACCACUCUUUGAUGCUAUGUGGAUGUGAUGUAGACCUAGGACUUGAUUUUGAGAUUGGAAGAAUUGAAUCAUACCUUUUACAAAGUGAGCAUCAGUAUUGUCUGCUUUAAGGCAGGCGUCCAUUAAUGAUUCGUACUGAUUGGAUAGGAGUGGCUUCUUAACAAAAGGCGAGAGGUUGAGAUCUUUGGCAACAGAGGGGUUGUCUGGACGAAAGCUUAGGCUUCUGCAUGUCAGUACCGUAUUGAAGUAGUCGACGUGGGAGUUUUGGCCUACUUUCGAAACUAUUAGAAGACGCAUGUCUUCAGGCAUGGCCUCAAGGGUCUGCAUGAUACUUUGUUUCGGAUUGAUGGAACUCAUGAAAAUAUCCUCUGUCUGUGUAUUUUUGCUUUUGAUGUUAUAUUUUAGUUUUUUCUUUGCUUCUCUUUGUUUAUAUAGGGCCGAGGAUGGUGCUUCGUGUUUGUUUUCCUUAGAAAGUGGAUUGAUACGUUUUGCAAUUGUUUUCGUAUAUUUAUUGUAACCCAUAAUUGGACGGUUUAAUUUUUUCCUCUGGAUUUUCAACAUUUAUGUAAUUACGUUACAUGUGUGUCAAUGGCUCAUUCGCAACGGCCAGACAACUUUUUAUUCUUAGAUUGAAAGAUAUUUGUUAUGAAUAUGAAUGGUUAAUAUUUCUUAUCCAUUGUAAAAGUUUUUGUUUGGUUAUUUUUAGUUUUGUUUGGUAAACCUAAGAUAUUUUUUUAUGAUGUUGUUAUGGUAUAGAGUUUUCUAUGUUUUAGUAUUUCAUUUUGGAAGUUCGUAUUAAUAUUAUUUUUUAGUCUUCGGAUUUGUCAUAGCUUGAUGUGUGUGUUACGGUAUUGAUCACAGGUUUUAACAAAACGAUGGGCCUUCCCGAAAUCUCCAAAGGCCCAGACGAAUCAGAUAAAGCUUGCGACAUCGUUUAAAGCAGGGUGACGUGUCACAAAAUGCCCCUCCCUCUAUGCUGAUGUGGCAGCAGGAGGUGAGAGAAAACCCUGUUUUAUAUAUAUAGAUAUUAUGGUUUGUUAAGUUGACCGAACUAUUGAAUUGACAUGGUUAAUUUGUUAAAGUUGUUAAAGCCGGUGGUUUAUUGAAGAUGGUAUAGACGUAACGUUUGGUUAAUUGUUAAAAUUAAAUUUGGAUGGUUUGAUUUAAGUGUUAAACAUGGUUUAGGCUAGUGGCAUAGACUUGUAAUAUUUAAGGAUAAUUGAGGGUUAAUUUCUAUUUGUACUUUAGUUUUAAUAGAUUAGAUACUAUGUUGUUUAAAAUUAUCUUUUAAAACAAAAGAUUAUUUCUUUACUUCAAAAUCAAGAUUAUUUUGUGAACUUUCCUUUUUAUUAAUCACAUUAUAUAUAAAAGAUACUUUAAGUUAUUAAAGUCUAUAAUUUUCCUUAUUAUAUAGAUUAUUUGAAAAAUAAAAUAAAGAGAAACGAAACAUAAACAUAAAAGGAAAAAAUAAAAUGCAAUAUUUAAUAAUGAUAAUUAAUAUAUUGGAUUCAUUACGGGUACUGUUGUAAUUAACCAUUGUAAGAAUAAAUUAAUAUGAGUCCGGUAUGUAUGAAACUGACUUCUUAAAUAAUAUUAUAAAAAUAUGAAAGAAAUGGGAGUUUAAGAACACUUUUUUAGACAACAUGAGACGAAUAUGAGAGUAAAUCAAAAUCUCUACUUUUGUUAUAUUAGAAAAAGGAAAACUACAUCAUCAAACUGAGUUUAGAACUGAAGAAGUGGAUGCUAACAUGUGUUCAUGACCAGCUGUGGUUGCAAUUUCUCAUCAAUUUUGAUUGAAGACUUUGAAGUGUCAAAUGCACUCGAUUUUUUCUAAACAAUAUCUUUCCUCAAUGUAUAAUAAACCCUAAAAAGAUAUAUAUAAAAAAAAAGAAUAUGAAAUCAGUACCAGACUAUAGCUUUAUAACAUUCACCACAAAAAAAACAUCAUUUAGGGUAUUUUUUAAACUUACAAUUAAAUAGUUGAGAUGAUGCAUCAGAUGAUGAUGUAAUGCAAAGACUUAAAACUACAUAAAGAAAAACAUAUUAAUAAUGUGGAAAAGCAAAGAAGAGUAACAACAUAGAAAACUGACUACAAAUUGAGAAAAAUACUUGGAUAUGAAUGAAACUUCACGCUUGUUAGAGAAAUCUUAGUAUUGCGUAUAUCGCAAAGGAACAUGAACCAUCUUUAUAACUACACAAAUUUGGCAUUGACCAUUCGUUACCAAAAUGCAUGAAAAUUUAACAAAUCAUAUUCAUAAUUCAAUAAAAUACCUCUAACUACAACCAAUAUAAAUAUCAUGUAUAACUAAUCUAGUAGGUCUUCAACUAUAAAAAGGUUCAUGUGAUAAAAUGCGUAGAUUGGAGCCAAAAAAAAUCAGUUUCUUAGAUCUAGAUCGAGAGUUCGAGUCAAAAGCUUUGCGGUGAAGUGUGUAUGUAAUUUAUUUUUCUCAUUAUCACUUUUUAUAGUAAAAAUGUAAAUGUUAUUUUUCACUUUUCAAGUUCUAUGUUAUUUUUUAAUUUACAUUUAAUAAACUUUGUAUCAAUUUAUCAGAUAAAUGACAUUAGCAUUCAUUGGAAAUACAAAGCUCAAUUCAUUUUGGAUAUAUACGAAUGGUAUUAUUCCAAUGGCAAACUAAAAUAUAUGAGUAAAGUCAUGGUUAGCAGUUGUUAAUUUUUGUUUUUUGUUUUCAUGAAUGAAAAUAUGUUUGACAAAAUCGUAAGGUAUGUUAUAUCAUUACAUAAAAAUAAAUUUAAGUAGAUAUCAAGAAAACAUAUGCAAAAGCUUUAAUAUGUAUUGUUCUUUCAAAGAAACUGAAAGGAAUGAUCUUCCUGAUCAAAAUGAAUGACAAGAGUGACAAUUACCAUUUGAAGAUCUUGUUUUGUUGGCAGUACUUGGUAUUAAAGUAUGAAAAUAUUGUUAUUUUAUCUUUUACAUAAUCUUGUAAUAUUGUUACAUAUGUUGAUUAUAAUAUCUUAAUAUCUUAUUGUAAAUAUAUUUUUGUAGACGCUGCCAUGUAUGCUAGCUAGAGAUGAUCAUGGACUCAUAAUGUAGAUAUUUCAAUUGUUGAUUAUUACUUAUUCUUCAAUUUUGCGACAAUGUUUGAUGACAAUUUUCCCGAGAUUAUUCUAUAAAGUCGAAUCGACUAGAGGUCUCAACGUCUGAGAAAAAAAGAAGUGAGAUGUUUGACACUUGACAGUUCAUAGUUAGUGCAUACCAAAUAAGUUUACAAUUUUGAUGAAAAAUGUGGUAGUUUUAUAUUUGUUCUUAAGAAGUAACAUUUGCAAUUUAUUUCAUUGAUACCUAUUAUGUUUACUUUUAAGAAGCAAAUUUUAAUAAAAUUUGAUAGAAUCUGUGUAUUUUUUGUGCUGAUUUCAGAUAGACCAUAUGAUUAUACACAAGCAAAACUAGACUGAUAAAUCAAUUUCAGUAGAAGAUCAAAGACUUUAUAGUAAGAUGAUUCCAUUCUUUUAAAUCAUUUUAUUAUUGUUUUCACUUAAAAAUAUUAUUGUGAUCAAAAGUUUAGAAAAUUAUUGGACUGUGACAUAUCCUGCAAAUAUAAGUGAUGUAUGUUCCAUUAAUGAAAUUGAUGUGGAGUACACAUGGGAUUCGAGACAAUUUCUUAUAGACUUUGUCGAUUCUACCAAGGCAAUAGAAGUUUCUAGAUAUAAUGAAGGGCUGCAUUACUGUUAUGGAUAUUCAUCUUUUAUAGGUUUGGAAUUCAUGAUGAACAAUGGAAUUCUACCAUAAUCUGAUUGGACUGGUACUGCGUACUGGUUGCGGCAAAGAUUUUAUCGCUCGGAGUCUUGUGAUGUCAGAGUUAGACAUGUUUUGAAUGAUGUCUGAGCAUUCACAGAUGUCAACAUAGCAGUUGAGUAUUUGGAAGUUCAACCUAUAUUAAAAUCAAUUGACGUAUUUAGAAUGGGUUUAUCUGAUAUUGAACAUGUAAGUGAUUAUGUUUAGUAAUAUUUUGUGUUAUCUUUUGUUUUAUAUUAGAAACUUUUUAAGCAACUAUGUUUAGUAAUUAUUCCAAUGGCAAACCAAAACAUAUGAGUAAAAUCAUGGUUAGCAAUUGUUGAUAUUUUUUGUUUCAUGAAUGAAAAUAUGUUUGAGAACAAAGUUAUGUCAUUAUAGAAACAAAAAUUUGAGAAGAUAUUAAUAAAAUAGAUACAAAAGCUUUAAUAUGUAUUGUUAUUUCCAGAUCAAAAUGAAAAGAAAGAAUAGCAAUUACUAUUUGAAGAUCUUGUUUUGUUGACAUAUUUUGGUAUUAAAGUAUGAAGAGUAUUGUGACUUUAUCUUUUACAUAAUUUUAUAAUAUUGUUAUGUUGAUUAUAACAUAUUUUUGUUAAUAUAUUUUUUUAGAAUCUAUUCUUCCUAGCUAGAGAUGCUCGUAAAAGCAAAAAUGUAGAUAUGUUAAUUGUUGUAUAUCUCAAUUGUUAUAUAUGUUUUGUUCUUUUAAGCAAGAUCCAAUGUUUUCAUCACAAGUUGACUUAGAUCUCGAUGAUUAAAUUGAUGAUCUUAGUUUUGUUUAUUUGGUUGAUAUUUGGUAAGUUGAAAUGCACUUUAGUCUAUCAACUUCAAAAGUAAUUAUAGUUUAUAAUGUUCUAUGUUUAGUUGUUGUUCAAUAAUAUCAAAUGUUUAUUAUGUUGUUAUGGAGUUUUAAUGUUUUUGACUUUCUCUUAUAAUGUGGGAUAUAUAAGAGUUUGAAUAAAUUUUGGGAUAUGGAGGGGAGCAAGGAUGAUGAAAUUUGGAAUGAAGCGGCACCACAAGUUGAGGAUUUAAUCUUCUAUUUUUUCUUGAUUCGAUCUUAUUCAGCUAAAUUUUCAUUGAUAAUCGAUUUUUUUCUGGUGAUGGAUAUGUCUUUCUUUUUUUGACUUCCUUUUGUUACAUUUCAUGUCUGUUUAGUUUUGUAUUAAUUUUAUUUUAUAAAUAAUUUUAUGCCACAAAUCUUUAUAAGUUUUCAUUAGUCUACUGUUAAACAUUUAUGCAAGCUAUAUUUAAGAUUCUCAUUGAUCAUAUCAAUUUUUCUUAAUGUUUCCUUUUCCUAAAGGAGAACCAUUUUUUUCUUUUUUUCCAGUUUCAAUUUUUUUUGGAAUGGCUCUGAAUAUCAGUUCUUCUAUUUUUUUUUUUGACAACUGAUAUAUUAUAUAUAAAAAUAUGUUUGUCUCUCUCCUAAGCUAUCCACGUGGAAAGUCACUAUCUGACAGGCCGACAUGUGUCCGUGAAUUUUAUUUCUUUGGCAGGACUUGAGUUUAACUUUGGGCUUAUACUAUGAACAAUUGACAGGCUUUUUACUCUUUAAUAUCAUUGAAUGUGAUAAUUAUUUCUUAAUACAUAGUAGAUAAAACAAAAAAAACACGAAUUACGAUAUGGACGUUAUAUUAUCAUGAAAGCAAUCUUUACCAUAUGUAUCUCAUCCUGUAAUAAUUUAUAAAGUAGCAACGAAUCUAUGAGUUCAACAAAUUUGCAACUACCUACUUCAUAAUUUUAAGUAUAUAAGUGUGUUGAAUAUUAUAUUAUAUGAUUUAAAAGCCUUUAUAAAUUUUUAUUUUUAAACAUACACCAUAAAUUUUAUGAAAGUAAAUAUCCAUUCAGGUUCUCAACCACUUCAAAUACCACCAACGCCAAAAAAAUUUAAUCAAGUGCACGAAAAUUAAAAUAUAUUUAAAACAAUAAAUACAUUAGUUAAUGAAAAAUCCUUUUCAAAAAUUAUUAUGGAUGCAUACAUAAAUAUUAAGAGAAAUGUAUACAAGGAAAUAAAAGUAACAAUAAC